CGCUCACGAAGUGACCCUGGUCUCGGGAAGGGCAAACAAAACAUGGCCGCCCUUGUCUUCUCCUUCUUCUGGUGUCCUUGUUGCGAGUGCGGCUUGCCCGUGUGGUGUGUGUGGGGAUCCUACAGGCGUCAAACCCGUCGCAAUUGCAAUUCUAGAUGAAACCCCGUGGAUGGAUAUUGUCCAGGUUCACAUAUCUUAGUUGCCAGUGUUAAGCAGGCGGUGAUUCAUAGUUAUUAUUUCUCUCUUACUCAACCGAAAAUGAAUCCUGCGUAUAUAGUUCUUCUCUCCUCUCCAUUUGUUUUUCCCCCUUCCCAUCCCGAUCCAUCAUCAUUUUUAUUUGUUGUUAUAGACAGUAUACACACAUUUCAGCAGCAAUCGCAAGGAUUCCAACCCCCCUCCCCCUCCCCCUUUUGCGCGCGGAAGCUGAUUCGCUCCCGACAGCUGCAGCAUGUAUCUCAAAAUACUCAGCCCACCAAGUCCAGAGCGAAAGAAAAAGCAAAAAAGCAGGGCGGACAUGGGAUGCGCAUCGAAUCAGGAUGCAUACUUCAGAUUUCCUUCCCUGGCUCCCCUCCCUGUCCCUCCAGGAUCUUCCAACACCACCACGUUCAAAACACGGCCUUGGAACGCCUCCAAAGAGUCUCAGGUAAAAAAAGGAGGAAAAAGAAAAAAGAAAAAAGAAAAAAAAAAUCUCAGGCAAGACUUAUCUGUAACUUAUCUGUACUAGCUUUUCUGUCAGUUUAGUUAUUUAUUCGUAGUAACUCAGGCCACAGCACUUUCUUCCUCCAGCGACCACUUCAUACCCAACCCGUCAUUGCCGAGCAUCCUCUGUUUCCAUAUUGGUCCAUGACGUGAUUAUUUACUGACAUAAUAAUAACAACAUGUUGGAUGCCCGCCCGCGUAAUCUGCAAAAGACGAACCUAGGGUUUGAAUUUUGGCGGGGAGCAGAUCGGCCGGCGCCACGGACCCCUCCCCUCUCAACAUAAUAAUAGCAAUAAUAACAAGAUCAAAAAUUUACGGGAAAAAAAAAAAAAAAAAAAAACACGCAAUAAAAUCAUUAUGAUCGUGUUGUUGUUAAACUUGAGACCGAGCCGGAUGAGUGCAGACUAUGUAACUUUGUACCUUAUACACGUACUGUACAGUUAUAGCCGUGGCCAGAGUAACUCCUAACUAGUGGCCGCUUCAACGACAGGACCAAGCAGAACGAGACGGCAGCUAGCAAUAUUACUGCGUAGUUACACUCCGCUGUGCUGGGAUGGGCCGGGAUGGAUUGCUGGGCGGCAAAUGAAAAUGGGAGAUGCGCUUGGAGGUGGUUGGUUGGUUGGUUGGUUGGUUGGUUGAUUGACUAUCAUUGUAUGGCUACUGCAUGUUUGCUCGGUGGGUGUGUUCAUUCGGCAGGUCACUAUUCUGCCCUUAGAGGCAGUGGGGAAGUCACACGGCAUGCGGAUGGGCCUUUUGUUGAGGACCGAGAUUGAAGAGGGGGUGGGGAAGGAGAUAGAAUCCUUUUGCGAAAGGUUUCGAUCGAUGAUAAAAUUUCACGCGUAGGUUAGGUUUUGCGGUGUUAAUGUCAGAUCAUGACAUUCAAAGUGACAUUCCAAGUGGAAUAUCAUUGGCCAGUUAGGAUCGUUCAUCGACGGGAGUUGAUAGGGUGAAUAACCAGCCUGUUCAAUAGGUCGAGAUUGCUUUGGCCCUCAAUCGCGCACCGUAUUUCCACACAAAUAGCGGGAGCAUGAUCAUGAGGAGGAACCCGGCCAACGCAAGUACUGAAUUGGUCCAUCCAUACCCGAGCGCAUGGUACAUACUAGGGGCA
rnacentral:sRNA from 1 species